UUUGAAACACAGAGCAAAGAUUAAAAAACGGGUUUUAACUUUAAUUUGAAAAGAUCAAGUAUCUAUUUUUAUUAUUAAAUGUAUCCAAGUAUAAUGUGAGUUUUUGUUUGCAAAUAUAUGAUAAAGAAUAAAAGACUAUGAAAUAAAUUGCAUGCUAUACAUGACUGCUAUUACUACUUAAUGGAAUUCAAAAAUACAUUAUAUUCAUUUCAAACAGAUGAUGGAAUAUGGAAAUCAAACAUGGAAAAAUCUAACACUUAUACUACCGUUAAAUUUAGAUUAAUCUGACAACAUAAUAUGUGAUACACGUAUUAUACAUAAAACGUAUUUUAGGAGUAAAAACGUUUCUUGAAUGAUCUACACUUGUACUGUAAUAAACUUACUGCAGCCAAUCAA